rnacentral:rRNA from 1 species
AUACAUGCAAGUCGAGCGAAUUGAUGGGAGCUUGCUCCCUGAUAUUAGCGGCGGACGGGUGAGUAACACGUGGGUAACCUGCCUGUAAGAUUGGGAUAACUCCGGGAAACCGGAGCUAAUACCGGAUAACAUGUUGAACCGCAUGGUUCAACAUUGAAAGAUGGCUUUUGCUAUCACUUACAGAUGGACCCGCGGCGCAUUAGCUAGUUGGUGAGGUAACGGCUCACCAAGGCGACGAUGCGUAGCCGACCUGAGAGGGUGAUCGGCCACACUGGGACUGAGACACGGCCCAGACUCCUACGGGAGGCAGCAGUAGGGAAUCUUCCGCAAUGGACGAAAGUCUGACGGAGCAACGCCGCGUGAACGAUGAAGGCCUUCGGGUCGUAAAGUUCUGUUGUUAGGGAAGAACAAGUACCAGAGUAACUGCUGGUACCUUGACGGUACCUAACCAGAAAGCCACGGCUAACUACGUGCCAGCAGCCGCGGUAAUACGUAGGUGGCAAGCGUUGUCCGGAAUUAUUGGGGCGUAAAGCGCGCGCAGGUGGUUUCUUAAGUCUGAUGUGAAAGCCCACGGCUCAACCCGUGGAGGGUCAUUGGAAACUGGGGGAACUUGAGUGCAGAAGAGGAAAGU